rfam:Daphnia magna strain Xinb3 contig28510, whole genome shotgun sequence.
CAAACGGCCCUUUUCAGGGCCACCAAAUUUUAAAAGAAAACGAAG